GCCUGGGUGGCUCAAUGGUUGAGCAUCUAACUUCAGCUUAGGUCAUGAUCCCAGGAUCCUGGAAUCGAGUCCCACAUCAGGCU
rnacentral:tRNA from 1 species